GACGAACGCUGGCGGCGUGCUUAACACAUGCAAGUCGAGCGGAAAGGCCCUUUUGGGGGUACUCGAGCGGCGAACGGGUGAGUAACACGUGAGUAAUCUGCCCUUCACUUUGGGAUAGCUUCGGGAAACCGAAAUUAAUACCGGAUAUGAUGCGCUCACGCAUGUGGGUGUGUGGAAAGUUUUUUCGGUGGGGGAUGUGCUCGCGGCCUAUCAGCUUGUUGGUGGGGUAAUGGCCUACCAAGGCUUCGACGGGUAGCCGGCCUGAGAGGGUGACCGGCCACACUGGGACUGAGACACGGCCCAGACUCCUACGGGAGGCAGCAGUGGGGAAUAUUGGACAAUGGGCGGAAGCCUGAUCCAGCAACGCCGCGUGAGGGAUGACGGCCUUCGGGUUGUAAACCUCUUUCAGUACCGACGAAGCGCCCUGUCGGGUGGUGACGGUAGGUACAGAAGAAGCACCGGCCAACUACGUGCCAGCCGCCGCAGUAACAC
rnacentral:rRNA from 1 species